UACGUAGGGGGCUAGCGUUGUCCGGAAUUAUUGGGCGUAAAGCGCGUGUAGGCGGUUCGAUAAGUCUGCUGUGAAAGUCGGGGGCUCAACCCUCGAAAGCCGGUGGAUACUGUCGGGCUAGAGUGCGGAAGAGGCGAGUGGAAUUCCUGGUGUAGCGGUGAAAUGCGCAGAUAUCAGGAGGAACACCGGUGGCGAAGGCAGGUCUCUGGGCCGAUACUGACGCUGAGGAGCGAAAGCGUGGGGAGCAAACAGG
rnacentral:rRNA from 1 species